GUGGCCGUACCCGAGAGGCAUCAGGGGCCUGGCCGUGACCCAGGUUACGUGGGUUCGAAUCCCACUGGUCACC
rnacentral:tRNA from 1 species